GUUGUGUAAAUCAGACACAUAAGGAAAGAUUUAGGGGGAAGAUCGUACUCUUCGGAAACAGAGUUCUCUGAUCCCUGAUCCACAUUUGCAAGCCCCCAGGGUUGUUUCAAUUUUGCCAGUGAGUUUCAAGAACUUACUUUGAAAAGUCUUGAAAUGACAUUAAGCCCUUGAAACUUUUUUGGCAACAUGCCGUGGUGCCUUUGUAGAAAAGAAAGGAGUGAUUACGACAUGGAACCGAUGGAAACAAGGAUAGUGUCUACCUUCCCGAGAAUUGACGUCGCAUUAAGAUUAGCUCCCGAUGAAAAGAGCUAAGCUGUUACCAUAAGCCCUGUUUCACAGAACCCACAGUUUUUGACCGUGUACAUGGCAGCACAGUAUAAGGACUACGUACAUUUCCUGGCCUCCCUUGCAGAUAGUGUCCGUGUGACCUAGUUCUGUUCAAUGGGAGGCAAGCAGAAGCGGUGUGUGCAACUUCUACUAAGUGUUCUCAAGUGGAGAGAGUAUGAUCUCCUUUGUCCUUCCCUUCAUCCUAGGGACUGGAAUUCGGAGGUAAUCGAUGGGACUCCAGUAGCCAUUUUGGAUCCCGGUAGCCAUUUUGGACCCGGAGAUGACAGUCCUGAAUUGCUUCCAACAGAGAGACCUAAGCAUUUAGGUCUUACUUAAGCCACUAUUAUUUUGGGCUUUCUGUUCUUUGGGCCAGACUUAAUUCUAAAUGAUAUGGCGUCCAAAGGAUGGGGGAUAUAAAUGGAAGAGAAGCAUAUAUAUAUCCACUUGAAAAAAUGGCUCUCACUGGCCUGUGUCCCCUCAUCCCUGCCUUCUCGUAAUAUUUUUGACUAGCCUGCCUUGUGAGAACAGUAAUAAUUGCUACUUACUGAGCCUCUACUCUGAGUCAGGCACUGGAAGGCACUUUACAUCUGGUAUCUCAUAGAAUAUUUACAACAUCUCUGUGAAGGAGGUAUAAUUAUUGCCAUUAUGGCCAUUUUCCAUAACUGGUUGUCCCGCCCCGAAUCUUGCUGCAUUCGACCUACCGUAUAAAUAGUAGCCUGCUUGGUUCUUCCCACAGAAAUCUUGUUGUAGCACCCUUCUAUUGAGGAUAUUUCCAUGGUGUUUGAGUUAUCUAAUGCUAUGUAACAAAUUACCCCAAACACGGUGCUUAAAAAGAUAGUUUCGGAGCGCCUGCGUGGCUCUGUCGGUCGAGCGUCUGACUCUUGAUUCCAGCUCGGGUUGUGAUAUCAGGGUCAUGGGAUCGAGCCCCGCAUCAGGCUCUGUGCUGGGCGUGGGGCCUGCUUAAGAUUGUUCUCUCUCCCUCUGCUGCUCGUGCUUUCCAUCUCACGCUCUCUCCCUCAAAAGACAAAGCGAAACAAAACAAAAACUUCUGCUUCUGUUGAUCAGGAAUGUGAGGAGGACUCAGCCUGGCAGUUUUCUGUUGGGGCCCCUUGCCUGGUUGCAGUUAUGAAUUGGCCGGGGCCGCAGUCAUGUGAAGACUUGAUAGGGGUGUCCAGUCUGCUCCUAAGAUGGCCCUCUCACGUGCCCGGGAAGCUGAUGGUCGCUGUGGGACGGAGGCCUUCUCUGCGGGGCUGUUGUGCAGCCUCAGGAGAUGGAGGCUGGCAUGCCCCGGAUGGAGCCGCCCAAGGCAUCUGGAAUGGAAGCUGCGCUGCCUCUUAGGCCUAGCCUUGGAGGUCACACCCAUGACGUCCACCAUAUUGUUGUGGUUGAGGAGCUUGCCAGUGUCUGCCCAGGUCUGAGGCGAGAGACUACAGAUCCCGCCUCUCCGUGAAACAGUGCCAAUUGUCACUGGUGGAAGGGGGGACAUACUGAUGCGGUCAUCUUGGGAAGACACAAAGCCUUUGCCUUUAGCCAUAGAGCUAUCCUGUCCCCCCCGUGGAACAUCCCACACCCAGAGUCAGUUCUGGUUAGCGUUGCUUUCUGCCAUUGCUGCCUUCGCGAAGCCAUGAAGAAACUGAUGAUAGAAUGAAAGAAAGCAACUGGUGUUGAGGUUCUAACGUACUGAUAAUGGUUUGCUCUUUCUGGGACGGUAGAUCCCGCGUGUGCCCGACAAACCCCUGUGACGCGACCGCUGGCCACAGCACAGACUACGUUUCUGGGUUUCUAUUGAGAUGGAUGUGUGGGUUUUCUUUAUUUUUUUUUAAGUUUGUUUUCUGUUUUGAGAGAGAAAGGGGUGGAGAGAAUGACCAAGGGAGGGGCAAAAGGAGAUAGAGAGAGUGAGGGAGAGAAUCUUAAGCAGACUCCACGCUCAGGGCAGAGCCCAAUGUGGGGCUCCAUCAUGGCCGUGAGAUCACGACCUGAGCUGAAAUCAAGAGCUGGACGCUUAACUGACUGAGCCUCCCGGGUGCCCCCGGAGGUGUGGGUUUCAAAGCCACGUUUCCCAGCCCGUGGUCCUUUUUGGGCUCCCGACUCAGGAGACUUUGGCCACAUUCCCCCUCCCUGGCCUCCGUCUCUUCAGCGUUUGCCUGGGAGAGGCAGGAGGCCCAGAGGCAGGAGAGGACACAGCAGGAAGUUGCCAGUGCGCAGGGCAGGCUGGCUGAGGGAGGGAGGGGGGUGGGGGGAGAGAAAGGCCUUUGGUGGGGCAGCUCUGGGUGACUGGGUGACGCGUGAGGCCUGAGCCAGCCAGGCCCGGGGUCCAGCCGUGAAGCCCACACACCCACAGUCACAGCCGGCCUGGCCAGGAAUGAAGCAAGAUCAAAUAUGGCAGAACACCGUGAGCUGAGCUCAGUGGCUCGGAAAAGAGCGGGGUGGCAGAACAGGACGCGGGGGGCGUCCCGUCACUCAGAGGUGCCGCUCAAGGUAAGAGGGCGGGAGCCUCCCUUGGUGUUUUUCACAACACCUCACAACAGGUUGUGGCCUUCCUUCAUUCAUGUCAGACCCAGAGCGGUGGGAACGGACCCUUCUCCCCACCCGGGGCCGUUUGUCCCCAGACCACGUUCCCUAUGCGUCCUGUUCUCCCACUUAAUCGGAGAGUGCGUCCCCCGCACCCCGCGCCUCUGUUUACUCCGUCUCCUGACCCGCAGCUGAUUGUAUAGGUGUUUGGAGGUGUCGGCUCUGAAGUGUUAAAAAUAAAACCGAGCUUUCCAUACUGGGAUUUCUCAUUAUCGUGCUUACAAAUGAGGCCCGCUGCCGCGUUUCAACAAUUGGCUAACAAGCUCUAAUUUGAGCGUUUCGGCUGGACCUUUGCACAGCAGGAGCCGACUCGGAGCAGAUGCCUUCUCACAACUGCCUGUUUGGGGAGCUGGUCACGUUCCCAUUCUAGCACAGCCUCCCUGAAUAGAGAAGCCCCAGGUAGGGUGGACAAAAGGACGGCCAAGUCUGGAGAGACUUCUGGUAGACGGCUAUUGUGCCAGGUGGGCGGCGGGCCCAGGGAGAGGUUGCGGACGUCUGGCCAGGUACGCACAGCCUCCCCAGCCCGGCAAGAGGGCACUCGCCAGGUGAAGGUCAAGGUGUGGAGAGGAGGGCCUGGAUACUCCUUCCACAGCUUCUUGGCCCCUGUGAAAUGUUCCCGCCAGAAAGUGCACGGCUCUCCAACUGGUGCUGAAUUCAGUAUACCUCGCGUGCUGAGUCUGCUUCCUGCCAAUACUGUGCUUGUGACGGCAGAAGUCCUGGGCCAGGAACUGGGUUUGGCCAGUUCUCUUAGGGCAGGUUGAGUGGGUCAGCUGUAAUAGACUUUUCUUUUUUUUUAAACGGUUAGUUAUUUUUGAGAGAGCACAAGCACGGUCCGGGCAGAGUGGGGUGGGGGGGGGGGGUGGGGUGCAGAGGAUCCAAAGCAGGCUCUGUGUUGACAGCAGCCAGACCCACUUGGGGCUUGAACUCAUGAACUGCGAGAUCACGACCUGAGUGGGCCACUCAACCGACCAAGCCACCCAGGUGCCCGUGUAAUGAACCUUUAAAGAGGAAGAGAGAGAGGAAGAGCUCAGUAGAAGCUAGAUGAUGUUGGUGGCUGGCACUAGGUCCCCACUCCUGUUGUCAUAACUGCCUGGUCCACUGAUAGCAUCUGGAGAGAAGGAUCGAGGAGUGACCAGAAGCAGCAGUAGGGGCUGAAUUAAGGAGCCGGGAUCCCCCAGCCCCAGCCCAGAGGCGCAAUGGAAUGUUCAGGGAGUCCUGUUCCUCCCUCCUCCCCAGGCCCCUCCCCAGAAUGUCUGUUUGGCUCUUGCUGCAUCCCUCCCACAGAAGUGCUUAGCAAAUGUUUGCUCAAAGAAUGAACGAUUCUGGCUGGCGCCCUUCUAGUGGUUUCUUUCACCCCUGCUCACGUGCCCUUAAAGCCCCCCAACUAUCUACUCCAGAAUCUUCCCUGCUCCCUGUGAUUCCCUCCCCUUCUUAACAUUUUUGCUCCCCUUCUGUCCAUUUCUGAUUAAUUAUUGGUCUCCAACCAAUAGUUAGCCCUUCCCUGAUGUGCUCAAGUUAACAAGGUCGAAAUCUCUCAAAUAAAACAUGUACGUGUAGCUUUUAUCAGGGAUAUUUCCAAACAGACAAGGAACUGGAAAGAGUAGGAUAAUGGCCCUCCUCCCCACCGUAUGCUCAUCGCCCAGUUUCCCACAAUUAUCAGCAUUUUGCCAAUCUCGUGUCCUCUUUCCUUCUGACCUUUUUCCUUCGCGGAGGGGUUGGGGAGGAGAGAGUAUUUUCAUCCUCUAGCUUUCUGAGUGCAGCUAAAAGCCUCCCUUACCUUCAUUACCACAUUAGCUCGCUAGGCCCGCAUGGACAGUGUGGCACCUCCUGGCUCAAUUAUCUUCUGCUUCGAAUGUCACAGAGUUUUACUUCUGUGCUGUGAGCUGUUGGAAUUACACAGUUCUUACUGCUUUAAGUGCCGUUAUUUAGAAUCCAAUUUGGCUCGCUUUGGAUGAGCUAUAGAGUCUCUACAUUGUUUCUCUUUUCCCUUUUUUCUUCUGAGGCUAAAAGUCAGAGCCGCCCAACCCCCUCCACCUGCCCCCUCACCCCCAUCCCAAAGUGUGUUUCUUUCUCUCCCUUUCUCUUUUCCAACCAUACCCUGAAGCAUUUCACCAAUGACCCUUUGUUACCUAACCACAUGUCACCAGCUCAGGAGACAAUCUGAAAAUUGACAGCAAUAAGGAAAUAGCCUGGAUCCAGGCUACUUCUCGAGGAGCCUCAAGCCCCAAGACAGGCCUACUAGGCUGUGUCAGGGAAAUUCUCCGUCUCCUUGCUGUCUGGAGGGACAGGGACAGAUGGAGGGACACAUUGGGGGGUGGAGAGCUUUCCUGGGGGGCAUCUGGUAGGUCUGCCUACCAGGCCUUCCUUACGUGUAUGAAAUUGACAACGAUGCCUUGUGUCAGAAAUUUAAAAUUUGUGACAUACAUAUUUCUCUUUUAUGUCUCAGUCCUGGCAUGCUUUGUUUUGACCGUUUUAUUCUUAGGCAGAGAACAAAAAGAUCAAGUUCGAUUGCUUCCUCACCGGCAUCCUGAAGGCACACGUGACGAUAUUUGGGGGUUCCACGUGUGCCCUUCGUGCAGACAGUCAGCUCUCCACGUUCUAUGAAUUUCUCUCAGCACAGCAAGCACAUCUGCCAGGGGGGGUCCCAGAAUUCCUUUUCUCCUUGAUUACCCAGCCCAGCUCAGCCAGGGAAUAUUUCCCAGUCUCAUCCUGCCUGUGCCCAGACCUUCCCCACCCUCCCAAAUCCCCCUAAACGGGAGCCAGUUGUGAGGGCCAGUGGACAGACGGGUGUCUCGUGGGCUGAACCGGUCCCCUCGCCCUGGUCCCUUUCACGAUCCUCCCUUCCUUUUAGUUCCUCUUCCCCCGUGGUCUCCCCCUCCCACCUGCUGCUUGGAGGCUUCUUGCAGAGACAUACCUCCCGGUCCCAGACCUCAGCCCCGCCCCCCCUACACCCUUCCUUCCCCUGGCCUUCACCUAGUGCCUCGGGUCCUCAGAGCAAUGCUCAGCCAUGGGGCUGCUUGCGAGAAGUGGCUACUGCAUAGGUAAUUGACAGAAAUCUGUGUGUUGAGUUGCUUCAUUCAUUCGUCAACCCUGCCCAGAUAGCCCGCCUUCCCUUGUCGUAAGAGCUGACAUUUUUUGAGGGCUCACUGUGUGCCAGGUACAUAUUCACUCAUUGUCCGUAUUACCUUAUUUAAUCCGCACACCGGCCCUAUGAGGCAGGUAUUAUUGUUACCCUCGUUUGGCAGAUGAAGCACAGAGAGGUUCAGUCACUUGCCUAAAGGCACACAGCUGAUAAUUAGCAGAGAGGAAAUUCGAAUCUGAGAUUCCCACUCAGCACCUGAUUGGAGAACACAAAAGUCCUUAAAAGAGAACCCGAAACUAUGUAAAAUUACAUACGGCAUGGAAAUAAUUGGAUAAGGAUCUUGGCUCAGGUGGUGGAAUUCUGAUUCGGAUGUUCUUUUUCCCUUUUUAUUUUCU